CGUCGAUAUCUCCUACAGUUAGCACCGCUCCACCAACUAUUAGCUUAGUUGCUCCUCAAGCAGGAUUACUCAAAUUAUUGUUCUAAGUUAUAUGGAUACACCCUUGAGUACUCUUUGAGUUCAGUUGGAUGCAACAUCAGUUGCAGUUCCAGUGAUUCAAUCAGUCGCUCCUAUAGUGGAUCAGUUAGCUGUCUUGAUCGAAAUCAAUCAUUCAAUCUUCACUACACCAACUCUGACUCCAUCAUAGAUUGCCAUUCAUGUCCCUCAUACUUACCUAGAUCCCUUAGCUCAUGAUAUGCGUUAGUGACCGCUUGUACUAGUUGACUCAGAGAUUACAACUACAAUGGUCAGAUAAUUACCAGUCAGAUACAGAGAAUAUAUCAUUGAUUGAGGUACACCAACAGGAUGGACGAGGAUAACGGCUACAUUUGAGUUAUACGAAAGAAGUACCUGCGGGUUACUGAUGUUGCACAUCUGAGCAGAAGGGUGCCAUCAUAUGGUAUGUGAGAGAUAUAGCUAGUAUCGCUUCUUGCAGACCCCUAAAGAGACUAAUUCAGCUUCAUCAGGGACUAUACUGUUACUGUUAUUCAUGAUCAUUCCCAGUUCCUUCACGUUAAAGUUGAGGAUCCCAGAUUAGCUUGUCCAAUCUAUAUAAUCCCUGUCUAUGCCUCAUGUGAUGCUGCUACCAGGAGGGACUUCACCACAUUUUCCUCCAAAUGAAGGAUCCUUGGCUAGUUGGAGGAAACUUUAACGUUAUUGCACAUGAGAGUGAUCGCACUGGUCGCAGCACUCGUGAUCGGGGUUCUAUUACUUUCUUUGAUAUGAUGUUGUAUUGUGGGUUGGAGAAUGCUGGUUUUUGCAGGAGUCGGUAUACUUGGACCAAUGGCCAGUGGACAUCUAAUGAUGAUUUAAGGCCCAGUCCCUUUCGAUUCCUCAAUGUAUAGACAAAGCACCAUGAUUUCUUAGCCUUCAUCUCUCAAAGUAGUCACUCCUGACUCAUCUAACGAGGAUGGCUGCUCUCUGGGAGAAGUUUUUUAGGCUGAAACAGGGUCUGCAUUAGUGGAAACAACGGGUAUUCGGUGAUAUUUUCCAACGGGUGAGAAAGGCUGAAGAGAAGGUCGACGAGGUAGCGUGCAAGAAGUUUAUGAAAACCUGAAGCAAUGUCCAAGUGGUAUUGAAAUAAUUUAUUUUACACCAGAUCAAUGUGUUUCUCUAUGUGAUAGCUAUUGCAAACAAGGUGGAUGGUGUGGGGGAAGCUGUGAUUUGCCAAUGACUGCUGAUUGUUGUUGUACUGGUUGCCAUCAAAGUGAUUCUGUUCCUGGAUAGAUAAGCAUUGUUUGAACAAUAAAUAAAUAUAUGGUUUU